CUGGAGUGAGUGGAGACCAGGGGGUGUCACCCUCCUCAGCCGCAAGGCAACGUAACUCUUGCCGAGAUCAACUCGUGUUUUGCAAGUUCUCGCCCUUGAAUUUUCUUAGAACCUGGGAAGACAAUACUGGCUGUCAUUCCUGACUUUUUCUUUAGCCUCUUCUGCUGGUUUUCUAUUGCAGGACUGGACGGAAGAGCGGGCCAAAGUGUGUAUCUGUGUGCUUGUGUGUGCUUCCUUCUCGUGGGAUCUCAUCUCUGUUCUACCACUGAAAGGACUAUUGGAGGUUUGCCACACAGAGAAAGUGAAGGGAAAAGCCGUCUAUUUGAUGUCCAGUCUGAAGACCAGUUGCAGAAGACACAAAGGAUUGUGCCUUGGCAGUCUACAAAAUUGGUACUGUCUUCACUGAUAUUCCGAACCGCUCUGUCCCCGUGGAGUUUUCCAAUCAACAGAAGAAGUUUCAUAAUCUAAACCCGUCAUUUCUCCACUGAUCUGGAGGCAAACAAGAACAAAGGCAGAAACAACGCUAAGAAAAUCAUUACUCCAGCAACUACAGUGAAACUGAAAAUAUUCUAAGAAGAUUCUGGAAAGGACCUCAGGCCUUCGUCCGCUGGAGGACAAUCAGUUGAGGAAGAGGGACGGAGGUUAUGGCCGCGUGCCUGACAAGUGUGAAAGUGGGAUAUCUCUAAAGUUUGUUGAAGUGCAAUCAGGUAAGUUUCUGUCUUUCCUUACAUAUUAAAUAUACAGAAUUUAUAGUUUCAGUCCUUCUCUAGACAUUUGAUGGAUACAUAUCUCUAGGUGAUCGUCUCCAUCCCCACCCCUCUCUCUCUCUCUCUCUGUCUCUGUCUCUGUCUCUCUCUCUCUCUCUCUCUCUCUCUCUCU